UUUCCAGGAAUAACUUGGCCUUAACCUUCUCUUGGUUUCUCUGGAUGGUUUGGUCAUAAACAGAUCAGCCUCACGAUGUCUUCUGUUUUUCUUUUCUUUCACCUAUGAAAAGAAACUGCUUGGAAACUCCCUGCUGAAACUGGAAGGUGAUGACCGUCUAGACAUGAACUGCACGCUGCCCUUCAGUGACCAGGAGAAGAGCGGGCACUGUGUCUUGUGGACGUGAAGAAAGUGAAACAGUCCCUGGCCCAGUCCCACCUGCCUGCCCAGCCCGACAUCUCACCCAACAUUUUUGAAGCUGUCAAGGGCUGCCACUUGUUUGGGGCAGGCAAGAUUGAGAACGGGCUCUGCAUCUGUGCAGCCAUGCCCAGCAAAGUCGUCAUUCUCCGCUACAACGAAAACCUCAGCAAAUACUGCAUCCGGAAAGAGAUAGAGACCUCAGAGCCCUGCAGCUGUAUCCACUUCACCAAUUACAGUAUCCUCAUUGGAACCAAUAAAUUCUACGAAAUCGACAUGAAGCAGUACACGCUCGA
rnacentral:lncRNA from 1 species